CCUACGGGUGGCAGCAGUGGGGAAUAUUGGACAAUGGGGGGAACCCUGAUCCAGCCAUGCCGCGUGUGUGAAGAAGGCCCUCGGGUUGUAAAGCACUUUCAGUGAGGAAGAACGCCUGGUGGUGAAUACCCAUCAGGAAAGACAUCACUCACAGAAGAAGCACCGGCUAACUCCGUGCCAGCAGCCGCGGUAAUACGGAGGGUGCGAGCGUUAAUCGGAAUUACUGGGCGUAAAGCGCGCGUAGGUGGCUUGAUAAGCCGGUUGUGAAAGCCCCGGGCUCAACCUGGGAACGGCAUCCGGAACUGUCAAGCUAGAGUGCAGGAGAGGAAGGUAGAAUUCCCGGUGUAGCGGUGAAAUGCGUAGAGAUCGGGAGGAAUACCAGUGGCGAAGGCGGCCUUCUGGACUGACACUGACACUGAGGUGCGAAAGCGUGGGUAGCAAACAGGAUUAGAUACCCUAGUAGUC
rnacentral:rRNA from 1 species